rnacentral:rRNA from 1 species
AUUGAACGCUGGCGGCAGGCUUAACACAUGCAAGUCGAGCGGAGAUGAGGUGCUUGCACCUUAUCUUAGCGGCGGACGGGUGAGUAACGCUUAGGAAUCUGCCUAUUAGUGGGGGACAACAUUCCGAAAGGAAUGCUAAUACCGCAUACGUCCUACGGGAGAAAGCGGGGGAUCUUCGGACCUUGCGCUAAUAGAUGAGCCUAAGUCGGAUUAGCUAGUUGGUGGGGUAAAGGCCUACCAAGGCGACGAUCUGUAGCGGGUCUGAGAGGAUGAUCCGCCACACUGGGACUGAGAAACGGCCCAGACUCCUACGGGAGGCAGCAGUGGGGAAUAUUGGACAAUGGGGGGAACCCUGAUCCAGCCAUGCCGCGUGUGUGAAGAAGGCCUUAUGGUUGUAAAGCACUUUAAGCGAGGAGGAGGCUACUGAGACUAAUACUCUUGGAUAGUGGACGUUACUCGCAGAAUAAGCACCGGCUAACUCUGUGCCAGCCGCCGCGGUAAUAC